UACGUAGGGCGCAAGCGUUGUCCGGAAUUAUUGGGCGUAAAGGAGCUCGUAGGCGGUUUGUCGCGUCUGCUGUGAAAUCCCGAGGCUCAACCUCGGGCUUGCAGUGGGUACGGGCAGACUAGAGUGCGGUAGGGGAGACUGGAAUUCCGUGGUGAUAGCGGUGGAAUGCGCAGAUAUCGAGGAAGAACACCGGUGGCGAAGGCGGCUCUCUGGGCCUUACCUGACG
rnacentral:rRNA from 1 species